rnacentral:tRNA from 1 species
GGGCUUAUAGCUCAACUUGGUAGAGCAUCGCUUUUGCAAGGCGCAGGUUGCAGGUUCAAGUCCUGCUGGGUCCA